rnacentral:lncRNA from 1 species
AAGAGGUGGUGGUAGAGGUCGGGGUGACUUCGGCGGCCGAGGAGGCCGUGGCGGUCGAUCAUCUGCACCUGCUGGAAAGAAGAUGCGGUUCGAUGAUUGAAUUAACACUUCGACGAUUAGAUAAUUUUUCACUUAGUAAGAUGGGUACCUCCUUUAUCAGUGUCUAUUGGCUGCUGGAUAUCCUUCGUGCUGCAUGCCUAUUUCGAGGAAUUUUGGUGUAGCAGUCCAAUCCACUAAGGUUCAGUGUUUUAUUUUGGGUAUAUGAUCCCAUUUUUCAAACCUCUGUAGCAACCUAACUUAACUUACAUAUGACUCUAGACUUAGUUCGGUCUUUGUAGCAAGUAAUGCCGAAGAAUAGAUGAGACAAGUUCCGCUGGCUUUGUUUUACACAAUGAAACCCACA